CCUACGGGCGGCAGCAGUGGGGAAUAUUGGACAAUGGGGGGAACCCUGAUCCAGCCAUGCCGCGUGUGUGAAGAAGGCCCUCGGGUUGUAAAGCACUUUCAGUGAGGAAGAACGCCUGGUGGUUAAUACCCAUCAGGAAAGACAUCACUCACAGAAGAAGCACCGGCUAACUCCGUGCCAGUAGCCGCGGUAAUACGGAGGGUGCGAGCGUUAAUCGGAAUUACUGGGCGUAAAGCGCGCGUAGGUGGCUUGAUAAGCCGGUUGUGAAAGCCCCGGGCUCAACCUGGGAACGGCAUCCGGAACUGUCAAGCUAGAGUGCAGGAGAGGAAGGUAGAAUUCCCGGUGUAGCGGUGAAAUGCGUAGAGAUCGGGAGGAAUACCAGUGGCGAAGGCGGCCUUCUGGACUGACACUGACACUGAGGUGCGAAAGCGUGGGUAGCAAACAGGAUUAGAUACCCGAGUAGUC
rnacentral:rRNA from 1 species